UGCUGCAAGGGCUAAAGUCACGCCGCGCUAGCAGAGUACUAAUUCCGUGCGGUAAAGGGGAAUGAUAGAGGAGAAAGAAGGAGAAAAAGAUAAGGAAGAAAAAGAAUCUAUAAACACGUAGAGGUGUAUCGGUUAUUAUCCAGGAAACCGACGCGUCCUGACUCGCUGUCACCCGGCACAGGAGCAUCGUGGAACCUAACCUAGCGGCGGGUUUGCGCGACGAACGCUCGCUCGGCCCCCGCGUGCCUGCCAGGUCGUCCAUUUUGUGUUCGAAGCCUCUAAGACUGCUGCUUGCCUGCCUGCCUGCCUCCACGUGUCGACCGCCAAGCUAUUGACCGCUUCUUCUUCCCGCUCCGCGUUUCCCCGAACGGAAAACUUGGGAUGAAUUCUAACCUACGCGAGAGACAGGAAUUCGCGUUUGUUCCGUAGCGAGGAGAUCGGUCGAAAUGCAAUACAGUUUCGCGAGUGAAUGAUAAACAUUAACGCGGCAGUGAUACCGUCGAGAAGUAGUGACGCUUCUUCGUUCGUUCGUUCGUGCUUUAUACACCUACCUAGUGUGGUUUCGAAUCGUCGACGGCCUCGCCUGCUGUCCGAGAAAUUCCGAGGCGGUUCUCUCGCCUCCGAGGUGCGAGAUGCAGAGUUUAGACUCGUAGAGUUGUGUACAGGCGUCGUCGUUACUAGCUAGCAGGAAGUAAGAAUAACGAGGAAGAGAUAAAUAGAGUGAGGCAAAGAAGGAUUCCGCGCGGAGUACAAAGUAAAGAAUAGGAGGAAAGAAGGCUCGUCGAAGAUU